AACGAACGCUGGCGGCAUGCCUAACACAUGCAAGUCGAACGAUACCUUCGGGUCUAGUGGCGCACGGGUGCGUAACGCGUGGGAACCUGCCCUUAGGUUCGGAAUAACUCCCCGAAAGGGGUGCUAAUACCGGAUAAUGUCUUCGGACCAAAGAUUUAUCGCCUUUGGAUGGGCCCGCGUUGGAUUAGCUAGUUGGUAGGGUAAAAGCCUACCAAGGCGACGAUCCAUAGCUGGUCUGAGAGGAUGAUCAGCCACACUGGGACUGGGACACGGCCCAGACUCCUACGGGAGGCAGCAGUGGGGAAUAUUGGACAGUGGGCGAAAGCCUGAUCCAGCAAUGCCGCGUGAGUGAUGAAGGCCUUAGGGAUGUAAAGCUCUUUUACCCGGGAUGAUAAUGACAGUACCGGGAGAAUAAGCUCCGGCUAACUCCGUG
rnacentral:rRNA from 1 species